AGGCCUGAAUUUAGGGAAGAUUACCCGCUGAAUUUAAGCAUAUUAUUAAGCGGAGGAAAAGAAACUAACAAGGAUUCCCUUAGUAACGGCGAGUGAAGAGGGAAAAGCUCAAAUUGAAAAUCGACAGUUUUGCCGUCGAAUUGUAGUCUCCUGAACUAUGGCCAGUAGUGGCUGCAGGACAAGUCUCUAGGAAUAGAGCUCCAAAGAGGGUAAAAGUCCCGUCUUCCUGCAGACAACUACAUACGGUCAAAUUUCAUAGAGUCGCGUUUCUUGCAAUUGAAGCGCAAAGUGGGUGAUAAACUUCAUCUAAAGCUAAAUAUCAGCAAGAGACCGAUAGCGAAGAAGUACCGUGAGGGAAAGAUGAAAAGAACCCUGGGAAGGGAGUUAAAAGGAACUGAAAUUGCUAAAAGGAAAGUGGAGGGAUACGGCUGUGCGCAUCCAGCUCAUGCCCGAAGAAUGUUUUCGAAUGGUCUAGGGUUAAUUAUGCUGGUUUCGUUUACACUUGGGGCUGGCGUUAAAGUUGGAGCUACUAUGCAUUUUGACAUCACAUGUGUGGUGGCGUGGCAUUUUUUCUCCACGGUCUUGACGUCAGAAUAUUUGAGAACUAUUCGUGGUUUUCAGUUCCCUAAGAAUGCUGUAUUUCUCUGUCCCGUCUUGAAACACGGACCAAGGAGUCUAACUCAAGUGCAAGUGCAAAGGUGUCAAACCUACGCGCGAAAUUAAAGUAAUGGUUGAGAAGGUUACUGCAUCGACAUCCGGCCACCAGGCUGCGAUUGAGCAUUUGGGUUAGGACCCGAAAGAUGGUGAACUAUGCCUGAGUAGGGUGAAGUCAGAGGAAACUCUGAUGGAGGCUCGCAGCGAUACUGACGUGCAAAUCGUUCGUCAAACUUGGGUAUAGGGGCGAAAGACUAAUCGAACCAUCUAGUAGCUGGUUCCCUCCGAAGUUUCCCUCAGGAUAGCUGGAGUUAAAAAAGUUGCACCAGGUAAAGCGAAUGAUUAGAGGCCUCGGGGGCAUGGUGCCCUCGACCUAUUCUCAAACUCUGAAUGGGUGCGAAUCACUAAUUGCUUAAUCGAAUUAGUGAGGUCAAUUAUAACUCUAAGUGGGCCAUUUUUGGUAAGCAGAACUGGCGAUGAGGGAUGCUCCUAACGUUGAGAUAAGGUGCUUAAAUCUCGCUCAUCAGACACCAUAAAAGGUGUUAGUUCAUUUAGACAGCAGGACGGUGGUCAUGGAAGUAGAAAUCCGCUAAGGAGUGUGUAACAACUCACCUGCCGAAUGAACCAGCCCUGAAAAUGGAUAGCGCUCAAGCGAGGUACCGAUACUCAACCAUUGCGACAAGUCUGUUUCGCAAUGAGUAGGAGGGCGUGGGGGUUGUUUAGAAGUGUCGAGCGUGAGCUUGCAUGGAACGGCUCCCAGUGUAGAUCUUGGUGGUAGUAGCAAUUAUUCAAAUGAAACUCUUGAAGACUGAAGCGGAGUAGGGUUCCAUGUGAACAGUAAUUGAACAUGGGUUAGCCGGUCCUAAGGGAGAGAUUUGUUUCUUCUAGAGGAGAUUUACUCCGUUUUCCGAAAGGGAAUCAGGUUAAAAUUCCUGAGCUAGGAAGUGGGUAUAGAGUGGCAACACGAAUGAACUUGGAGACGCAUAAUGCAGCCCUGCGGAGCGUUUUCUUUGCUGUUUAACAGUAGUUAACCCCUGGAAAUAGAUCAACUAGAGAUAGGGGAUAGCCACUGGAAAAGCACUCUAAUAUUCGGAGUGUGCGGUGCGCUGCAUUGUGCCCUUGAAAAUCCAGGGGACUAUUAUUAUCCACACCUCUAGCCGUACCAAUAACCGCAUCAGGUCUCCAAGGUUAGCAGCCUCUGGUCUUUAGACCAAAGUAGUUAAGGGAAGUCGGCAAAUUAGAUCCGUAACUUCGGAAGAAGGAUUGGCUCUGAGAGCUGGGUGUUAAGAGGCGUUUGAUGGAACAAGGAGUUAGAACAGGUUUUACGGGAUUUCUCGUGGAAUCAGUUCAGGCAUCUUGCUCACAGCUUACGCAUCCUUCUCACAUUAAACAGCUAUCUCAGAACUGGAGCGGACAAGAGGAAUCCGACUGUUUAAUUAAAACAAAGCAUUGCGAUGGCCUUGAUUGGCGUUGACGUAAUGUGAUUUCUGCCCAGUGCUCUGAAUGUCAAUGUGGUGAAAUUCAAUUAAGCGCGGGUAAACGGCGGGAGUAACUAUGACUCUCUUAAGGUAGCCAAAUGCCUCGUCAUCUAAUUAGUGACGCGCAUGAAUGGAUUAACGAGAUUCCUACUGUCCCUAACUACUAUCUAGCGAAACCACAGCCAAGGGAACGGGCUUGGAUAAGUCAGCGGGGAAAGAAGACCCUGUUGAGCUUGACUCUAGUUUGACUUUGUGAAAAGACUUGAAAGGUGUAGAAUAAGUGGGAGUCGCAAGACAGCCGUGAAAUACCACUACUUCCAAUGUCUUUUUACUUAAUCCGUUACAUUGAGACUUACAUUAUGUAAGGUUCUGAUUUAAGGCAUUUAUGCUGAUCAAAGUGGAUGACAGAGUCAGAUGGGGAGUUUGGCUGGGGCGGUACAUCUGUUAAACAACAACGCAGGUGUCCUAAGGCAAGCUCAAUGAGAACAGAAAUCUCAUGUUGACCAAAAGGGGAAAAGCUUGCUUGAUUUUGAUUUUCAGUACGAAUACAAACUGUGAAAGCAUGGCCUAUCGAUCCUUUAGAUCUGAGAAGUUUUCAGCUAGAGGUGCCAGAAAAGUUACCACAGGGAUAACUGGCUUGUGGCAGCCAAGCGUUCAUAGCGACGUUGCUUUUUGAUCCUUCGAUGUCGGCUCUUCCUAUCAUUGAGGAUGCAGAAGUCCCAAAGUGUCGGAUUGUUCACCCGUUAAUCAGGGAACGUGAGCUGGGUUUAGACCGUCGCGAGACAGGUUAGUUUUAUCCUACUGAUGAAAGUUUUGCUACAGUAAUCCAGCUUAGUACGAGAGGAACUGCUGGUUCAGGUACUUGGUAAUGCAGCUAAUUGAACAAUUAGUGCUGCAAAGCUACCACCUGCUCAGUAAAGACUGAACGCCUCUAAGUCCGAACUGAAGCUGAACGCAAAGCUCCUCGUCGCUUUCACUUAUCUGCCAAGAGAUAUUAUUCUUGAAUGCCAACCUCGUCUCUCUGAGAUGACAAAAAGAUCCAAUUGGUGGAAGCGGUACAUCUUAUGCAGACUACAUAAAUAGGUUUAGGUAUUGUAAGCAUUAGAGCAGACGUUGUGCUGCGAUAUGCUGAGAUUCAGCCUACAAUCUAUAGAUGUGU
rfam:Dendroctonus ponderosae Seq01006029, whole genome shotgun sequence.